CCCUAAUCGGGUGGUAAAUUCCGUCCAAGGCUAAAUACGGGCGAGAGACCGAUAGCGAACAAGUACUGCGAGGGAAAUAUGAAAAGGAAUUUGAAAAGAGAGUUAAAGAGUGCUUGAAAUUGCCGGGAGGGAAGCGGAUGGAGGCCGGUGAUGCAUCUCGGUCGGAUGCGGAACAACUCAAGCUGGUCCGUCGCUCGACUCGAGGUGCGAACCAACACAGGCCGUUGCAUUGGCACAAGCGCGGGUGGAGUACUGCCUGUUGGUUUUUCGUUGUGGCAGUCGAGAAAUGAAGCGUGCGACCUUGGGGUGGGCCACUGUGCACCUGCACGCUCGUGGUGUUGGUUGGUGGGCUUUCCAUUCGACCCGUCUUGAAACACGGACCAAGGAGUCUAACAUGUGUGCGAGUUGGUGGGUUUGUAAACCUGUGAGGCAUAAGGAAGCUGAUGGGCGAGAACCCCUCUCCAUGGGGUGCAUUGUCAACCGACCUUGAGCUUGUGCGAAGGGUUUGAGUGCGAGCACACCUGUUGGGACCCGAAAGAUGGUGAACUAUGCCUGAGCAGGGCGAAGCUAGAGGAAACUCUGGUGGAGGCCCGUAGCGAUACUGACGUGCAAAUCGUUCAUCUGACUUGGGUAUAGGGGCGAAAGACUAAUCGAACCAUCUAGUAGCUGGUUUCCUCCGAAGUUUCCCUCAAGAUAGUUGGAGCUCACGUGCGAGUUUUAUCGGGUAAAGCAAAUGAUUAGAGGCAUCGGGGGCAUAACGCCCUCGACCUAUUCUCGAACUUUAAAUAGGUAAGACGGUGUGGCUGCUCCAUUGAGCCAUGCCACGGAAUCGAGAGCUCCAAGUGGGCCAUUUUUGGUAAGCAGAGUUGGCGAUGCGGGAUGAACCGAAAGUCGAGUUAUGGUGCCAAACUGCGCGCUAACCCAGAUCCCACAAAGGGUGUUGGUUGAUUAAGACAACAGGACGGUGGUCAUGGAAGUCGAAAUUCUCUAAGGAGUGUGUAACAACUCACCUGCCGAAUCAACUAGCCCAAAAAAUGGAUGGCGCUGAAGCGCAUGACCUAUACUCGACCGUCGGAGCAAUUGCCAGGCUUCGAUGAGUAGGAGGACGCGGGGGUCCUUGAGGAACAUUAGGCGGGAGCCUGGGUGGACCGGUCCCCGGUGCAGAUCUUGGUGGUAGUAGAAAAUAUUCAAAUGAGAACUGUGAAGACUGAAGUGGGGAAAGGGUCCAUGUGAACAGCACUUGGACAUGGGUUAGUCGAUCCUAAGAGAUGGAAAAGCCCUAUAUCAAGGGUGCACUAUGCACGAACAUCGAAAGGGAAUCGGGUUAAUAUUCCUGAACCGAGACAUGGCGGCGAACGACAACGUUAGGAAAUCCAGAGACGUCGUCAGGGGCCCCGGGAAGAGUUAUCUUUUCUUUUUAACAGCUUGCCCACCCUGAAAUCGGCUCAACCGGAGAUAGGGUCCAGCAGCUGGAAGAGCAUCGC
rnacentral:ncRNA from 1 species